UCCUCCUGUACUUUUAAAGG
rnacentral:tRNA from 1 species